rnacentral:lncRNA from 1 species
AAACCAUCUCGGUCAUUUCCAUCUUCACAGAGAAAAAUACACAGAAGAAAAAAAUGAGCAUCACAGCUCAAGGGAUCCAUGUGAAGCUAUGACAGAAACUGAGUGGCACAUGGACAUCAAAUGAAUGAUCUGAAUGGACUCAACUCAUUUCCUCAUGCUUCAUGCCCAUUUAUACCAUAAGUCUUAAGAAAAGACUCUCACCAGCAGCUCAACUGUCAUCUGCUUCAGAGGACUCAUUCUGCUCUAAAAGAGAUUUGCCCAUCAUCUAUCUCUAUCUCUAUAUCAUCUCUAUCUCUAUAUCUAUCUAUCUAUCUAUCUAUCUAUCUAUCUAUCUAUCUAUCUAUCUAUCUAUAUCUUCCAGCUAUACUCCUACAACAAGACUUCAUUCUCAUCUCUCACUUGUGUGGAUCAUGACUUCAUUCUCUGAAAUCACAAGACAACAACACUGUCACCAACUCUGUAAGUUUCAUGUGACCAUGGAUAUACUACACUCUAGCUCCCAAGAUAAAGC